rnacentral:rRNA from 1 species
CCUACGGGAGGCAGCAGUGGGGAAUAUUGGGCAAUGGACGAAAGUCUGACCCAGCAACGCCGCGUGAAGGAAGAAGGCUUUCGGGUUGUAAACUUCUUUUAACAGGGAAGAGUAGAAGACGGUACCUGUUGAAUAAGCCACGGCUAACUACGUGCCAGCAGCCGCGGUAAUACGUAGGUGGCAAGCGUUGUCCGGAUUUACUGGGUGUAAAGGGCGUGUAGCCGGGAAGGCAAGUCAGAUGUGAAAUCUGGAGGCUCAACCUCCAAACUGCAUUUGAAACUGCUUUUCUUGAGUAUCGGAGAGGUAAUCGGAAUUCCUUGUGUAGCGGUGAAAUGCGUAGAUAUAAGGAAGAACACCAGUGGCGAAGGCGGAUUACUGGACGACAACUGACGCUGAGGCGCGAAAGCGUGGGGAGCAAACAGGAUUAGAUACCCCUGUAGUC